GUGUCAGCAGCCGCGGUAAUACGAAGGGGGCUAGCGUUGUUCGGAAUCACUGGGCGUAAAGCGUACGUAGGCGGGCAAUUAAGUCAGGGGUGAAAGCCUUGAGCUCAACUCAAGAACUGCCUUUGAUACUGGUUGCCUGGAGUCCGGGAGAGGUGAGUGGAACUGCUAGUGUAGAGGUGAAAUUCGUAGAUAUUAGCAAGAACACCAGUGGCGAAGGCGGCUCACUGGCCCGGUACUGACGCUGAGGUACGAAAGCGUGGGGAGCAAACAGGAUUAGAUACCCUGGUAGUCCACGCCGUAAACGAUGGAAGCCAGCCGUUGGCCAGCAUGCUGGUCGGUGGCGCAGCUAACGCAUUAAGCUUCCCGCCUGGGGAGUACGGUCGCAAGAUUAAA
rnacentral:rRNA from 1 species